rnacentral:rRNA from 1 species
UGAAUACGAGACGCUAAGGCGUCGAAGUAGUGUAUGUCAUACUUCCAAGAAAAGCUUGCACUGUCAUAAGUAAAAAAUGCCUGUACCAUAACCGACACAGGUGGGUAGGUAGAGUAUACUAAGGGGCGCGAGAUAACUCUCUCUAAGGAACUCGGCAAAAUAACUCCGUAACUUCGGGAGAAGGAGUACCUUAUUCUAUAAGGUUGCAAUAACAAGAUCCAAGCAACUGUUUAUCAAAAACACAGGUCUCCGCUAAGUCGUAAGACGAUGUAUGGGGGCUGACGCCUGCCCAGUGCCAGAAGGUUAAAGAAGUCGGUUAGCAUUAGCGAAGCUGGUAACUGAAGCCCUGGUGAACGGCGGCCGUAACUAUAACGGUCCUAAGGUAGCGAAAUUCCUUGUCGGGUAAGUUCCGACCCGCACGAAAGGCGUAAUGAUUUGGAUACUGUCUCGGAGAGGGGCUCGGUGAAAUAGACUUGUCUGUGAAGAUGCGGACUACCUGCACCAGGACAGAAAGACCCUAUGAAGCUUUACUGUAACUUGAAAUUGAAAUUGGACUUUAUUCGCGCAGUAUAGGUGGGAGGUGGAUUAUAAUCUUGCGGGAUUAUUGGAGCCAUCAGUGAGAUACCACUCUUGUAAUGUUAGAUUUCUAACUUUGAAUCAUUAUCUGGUCAAAGGACAGUUUCAGGCGGGCAGUUUGACUGGGGCGGUCGCCUCCCAAACGGUAACGGAGGCGUACAAAGGUUUCCUCUGAACGGGUAGAAAUCGUAUCUAGAGUGUAAAGGCAUAAGGAAGCUUGACUGUGAGACCUACAAGUCGAACAGGGACGAAAGUCGGUCUUAGUGAUCUGACGGUACUGAGUGGAAAGGCCGUCACUCAACGGAUAAAAGUUACUCUAAGGAUAACAGGCUGAUCUCCCCCAAGAGUUCACAUCGACGGGGAGGUUUGGCACCUCGAUGUCGGCUCAUCGCAUCCUGGGGCGGUAGUACGUCCCAAGGGUUGGGCUGUUCGCCCAUGAAAGCGGUACGCGAGCUGGGUUCAGAACGUCGUGAGACAGUUCGGUCCAUAUCCGGUGUAGGCGUUAGAAUAUUGAGAGGAGCCUUCUUUAGUACGAGAGGACCGAGAAGGACAUACCUCUGGUGUACCAGUUAUCGUGCCAACGGUAAACGCUGGGUAGCUAUGUAUGGAGUGGAUAACCGCUGAAAGCAUCUAAGUGGGAAGCCCACCUCAAGAUAAGUAUUCUCA